rnacentral:lncRNA from 1 species
GCCACAACACUCGGGACCAAGAAGCUGGAGGUCUGGGAAGCUUCCCGAAGCAAGUGACAUUAAGCCUUCCAAGAAUACACUGAAGUUGUGGUAUCUUCCCAUCCAAGAGUGAGCAGGACCCCAUGUGGUGCUGGAGACAGAUGAGAAUACCUGACCAAAACCACUUACAGAUGGUAGAGUUUAUUUUACUUUGGCUCAUAUAUCAUUGGCAUGAAGUCAUGGCAUCAGGAAUGUGCGACAACUGGUUCCACUUCACCUACCAGCAAGAAGCAUAGAGAGGAGAUUACAGUUAAUAGAGUACAUGAAUCUCAGAAGAGACUUUGAACUUUAGACCUUUAAAUAAAGUUGUAGAACUCUCAGCUCCUUCUCCAGCACCAUGUCUGCCUUCACACCACUAUGUCCUGCCAUGAUGAUAAUGGACUAAAUCUCUGAAAAUAUCACCCUCAAUUCCUAAGAAUCCAGCUGGACCUUUGCUUGAAGUGUAUGAGAAAGAUUGUGGUUCCUUGGAAGAGCAGGACAUCCUGGCAUCACAGUGCUGUCUAUGAUGGAGACUUCUCAAUGUAAUGGUUAUGACAUUUUAUGCACAACAGACCUUUAUCUUUCCUGUUGCAGUUAUCUAUAGGGGGGUUGGAGUACGAUCGUUGACUGUAGGAGUAUCUGCUGUGUGGUGGGCUGUCACAAGUAUGUGAAAGACUUACUGGCACCAUGCAGAGGUUCCUGUAGAUGGAGGUUUCUGUCCCACCUGGUCUGUACAGACCUCCAGCCCUCUAUGGUUUGCUAGUUGUGAGCUCCAUUCUCUGACCGACCCCAAGACAGGCUUUGUUUAAGAAAGGUAUCACCACAGGUUCCAAUAGUAUCUGAGUAAGCAGUCAUUAUCCAAGAUGUGUCUUUUUAAAAUGCUGACUACCUCAGUCAUGGACUUGAGUGGCCUUGCUCUAUCUCAGUGUCAGUGUCUCCAGCGUCUCAGGAGUGAGCCUUAACU